AGAACUUCCCUAGAAAAGUUCACUCGCAGUGUGGGAAAGUCGCUGGCGGGCAAGCGCCUCACGGGCCUGAUGCAGUCCUCCUGACCGUUCCCACCGCAGGUCCAGGGCCCGGGCCCGCGGACCCCACAGGCAGGCGGCGGCGCUCCACAUCUGCGGACAGAGUUUCCUUACGGGGAGACUUGGUCACUGUGAAGGAGAAAGAGUGAGGGCAAUGAAGGGCGAGUGGGGAGAUUCGGUGGGUGAAUGGGGAGACCAGAAAGAAAGAGUCCACAGAGCCUGGGCUGGGCCCGGCGGAGGCUCCUGUUUACAGCCCUCUCUUCUUUGUACAGUUGUAUUCCAACACUCCACUCGCUAAGAGGCCCUGAUCCCAGCUCAUUCAGGGGAGAACACGUCGUGGGGUUCCUGUCACGACUAUCACUUGAGAUUAUAUUAUUAUCCUCACUCCCUCGCUG
rnacentral:sRNA from 1 species